AGAGUUUGAUCCUGGCUCAGAUUGAACGCUGGCGGCAUGCUUUACACAUGCAAGUCGAACGGGCUUAGGGGCUUGCUCCUAAGUUAGUGGCGAACGGGUGAGUAAUACAUCGGAACGUACCGUGUAGUGGGGGAUAACGUAGCGAAAGUUACGCUAAUACCGCAUACGAUCUACGGAUGAAAGUGGGGGACCUUCGGGCCUCACGCUAUACGAGCGGCCGAUGUCUGAUUAGCUAGUUGGUGAGGUAAAGGCUCACCAAGGCAACGAUCAGUAGCGGGUCUGAGAGGAUGAUCCGCCACACUGGGACUGAGACACGGCCCAGACUCCUACGGGAGGCAGCAGUGGGGAAUUUUGGACAAUGGGCGAAAGCCUGAUCCAGCCAUGCCGCGUGUCUGAAGAAGGCCUUCGGGUUGUAAAGGACUUUUGUCAGGGAGCAAAACUUAGAGGUUAAUAACCUUUGAGGUUGAGAGUACCUGAAGAAUAAGCACCGGCUAACUACGUG
rnacentral:rRNA from 1 species